GAAUGCCAGGCACGGUGGCUCACACCUGUAAUCCCAGCACUUUGGGAGGCCGAGGCAGAUGGAUCAUCUGAGAUCAGGAGUUUGAGACCAGGCUGGCCAACAUGGUGAAACCCCAUCUCUGCUAAAAAUACAAAAAUUAGCUGCGCUUGGUGGCACAUGCCUGUCCCAGCUACUCAGGAGGCUGAGGCAAGAGAAUCACUUGAACCUGGGAGGCAGACGUUGCAGUGAGCAAAGAUCGUGCCACUGCACUCCAGCCUGGGCGACAGAGCGAGACUCCACCUCAAGAAAAAAAAAAAGAAAGAAAGAAAAGAAGGAGGGAAAAAAAGAAAAGAAAGAAGAAAGAAAAUAAAGGAAAGAAAGAAAGAAAAAGAAGGAAAGAAAGAAAGAAGGGAAAAGAAAAAGAAAGAAAAGUGAAGCCUCUUUUCAGAGAACAUCAGAUCUUAGUUUUGGAAGGAAAUCCAAUUGUAUGCUGCUCACACUUCUAAUAUACCUAACAGACAAUUCUCAGCUAUCCUUUUCCUCAACUCAGUGGAGGAUUUCUUUUGAGGGUUCAAACCCCCAACUUGGCCUUGUAAUCAACUGAGCACGGGCUGACCUGGGUCUCCAUCACUUCAAGGUAAUCCAUCAAGAGUGCUCGCUCAACUCCCAGCCGCUACAGUUCCUGAAAAUCUUCUAAGACAGGUGUUCAGAUGCCCUGGCCUUGCUAUAAUAGUAGUGGAUGCUUUGGAAAUCCACUGGAGCUGAGUUUUGCUAACACCAAGGUGCUGAGAGGUUUUCCAUUGUGGUGUGAUCCUGUGUAACUGCUGCCGACUGCAUACCCUGCCAUCCCUGCAGAUUCUCAGCUUCCUGAUUCUCUGAUGGACCCUAUGGCUUCAGAAUAGGGAGAAAUAUGCCACAAUAGAAUUCUACUUUUGGGAUAAUUACCAUCUUGUUAAUCCAGCUUUGCAAAGGCUGAAGACUAGAGAUUGGGUAGCUCUCAGUUCUCUAUUCAGAAAACCAACGUAUGUUUCUCCUGCCUACAUACUCAGCUCCUCUGAGCAGGAGAUAGUCAGGGAGAAGUCUGUCUGAGCUUGGCUCAAAUGAUAUUGCCCUUUGGCUAUGUGUCCUGUAGAGCUCUGUGGAGCAUAAUUUUGCUAGUUUUAAAUAUUAUAAAUGUAAUAUAUUUUCAUUGUAACUUUUUUUUCAAACAUUACUAGUAUAAGUAUACAGCAUAAAAUAAAAAGUUACAUAUCCCUA